rnacentral:rRNA from 1 species
AACGAACGCUGGCGGUAUGCUUAACACAUACAAGUCGAACGAACAAAAUUGGGGCUUGCUCCAAUUUUAGUGAGUGGCAAACGGGUGAGUAACACGUGGGAAUCUACCUAUCAGUACGGAAUAACACUUGGAAACAGAUGCUAAUACCGUAUAUUCUCCAAGGAGGAAAGAUUUAUCGCUGAUAGAUGAGCCCGCGCAAGAUUAGGUAGUUGGUAGGGUAAUGGCCUACCAAGCCGACGAUCUUUAGCUGGUCUGAGAGGAUGAUCAGCCACACUGGGACUGAGACACGGCCCAGACUCCUACGGGAGGUAGCAGUGGGGAAUAUUGGACAAUGGGCGAAAGCCUGAUCCAGCAAUACCGCGUGAAUGAUGAAGGCCUUAGGGUUGUAAAGUUCUUUUAGUUGGAAAGAUAAUGACGGUACCAACAGAAAAAGCCCCGGCUAACUCCGUGCCAGCCGCCGCAGUAA